UACAGAGGUGGCAAGCGUUGUUCGGAAUUACUGGGCGUAAAGGGCGCGUAGGCGGUCCGAUAAGUCCCGUGUGAAAGCCCCCGGCUCAACUGGGGAACUGCACGGGAAACUGACGGACUUGAGUUCGGGAGAGGGAAGCGGAAUUCCGGGUGUAGCGGUGAAAUGCGUAGAUAUCCGGAGGAACACCGAUGGCGAAGGCAACCGCCUGGGCCUGUACUGACGCUGAGACACGAAAGCGUGGGGAGCAAACAGG
rnacentral:rRNA from 1 species